rnacentral:rRNA from 1 species
AUUGAACGCUAGCGGGAUGCCUUACACAUGCAAGUCGAACGGCGUGGCGACCGGGUGAGUAAUGUAUCGGACCGUGCCCAGUAGCGGGGGAUAACUACGCGAAAGCGUAGCUAAUACCGCAUACUCUUGGAGCGGCCGAUAUCGGAGUAGCUAGUUGGUGGGGUAACGGCUCACCAAGGCGACGAUACGUAGCUGGUUUGAGAGGACGACCAGCCACACGUGGACUGAGACAAGGCCCAGACUCCUAUGGGAGGCAGCAGUGGGGAAUUUUGGACAAUGGGGGAAACCCUGAUCCAGCCAGCCCGCGUGUGCGAUGAAGGCCUUCGGGUUGUAAAGUACUUUCAGCGAGGAGGCGUUACUCGCAGAAGAAGCACCGGCUAACUCCGUGCCAGCAGCCGCGGUAAUUC